AUGAACGCUAGCGACAGGCUUAACACAUGCAAGUCGAGGGGCAGCACAGGUAGCAAUACCGGGUGGCGACCGGCGCACGGGUGAGUAACGCGUAUGCAACUUACCUAUCAGAGGGGGAUAACCCGGCGAAAGUCGGACUAAUACCGCAUGAAGCAGGGGCCCCGCAUGGGGAUAUUUGCUAAAGAUUCAUCGCUGAUAGAUAGGCAUGCGUUCCAUUAGGCAGUUGGCGGGGUAACGGCCCACCAAACCGACGAUGGAUAGGGGUUCUGAGAGGAAGGUCCCCCACAUUGGUACUGAGACACGGACCAAACUCCUACGGGAGGCAGCAGUGAGGAAUAUUGGUCAAUGGGCGUAAGCCUGAACCAGCCAAGUCGCGUGAGGGAUGAAGGUUCUAUGGAUCGUAAACCUCUUUUAUAAGGGAAUAAAGUGCGGGACGUGUCCCGUUUUGUAUGUACCUUAUGAAUAAGGAUCGGCUAACUCCGUGCCAGCAGCCGCGGUAAUACGGAGGAUCCGAGCGUUAUCCGGAUUUAUUGGGUUUAAAGGGUGCGUAGGCGGCCUUUUAAGUCAGCGGUGAAAGUCUGUGGCUCAACCAUAGAAUUGCCGUUGAAACUGGGAGGCUUGAGUAUGUUUGAGGCAGGCGGAAUGCGUGGUGUAGCGGUGAAAUGCUUAGAUAUCACGCAGAACCCCGAUUGCGAAGGCAGCCUGCCAAGCCAUGACUGACGCUGAUGCACGAAAGCGUGGGGAUCAAACAGGAUUAGAUACCCUGGUAGUCCACGCAGUAAACGAUGAUCACUAGCUGUUUGCGAUACAGUGUAAGCGGCACAGCGAAAGCGUUAAGUGAUCCACCUGGGGAGUACGCCGGCAACGGUGAAACUCAAAGGAAUUGACGGGGGCCCGCACAAGCGGAGGAACAUGUGGUUUAAUUCGAUGAUACGCGAGGAACCUUACCCGGGUUUGAACGCAUUCGGACCGAGGUGGAAACACCUUUUCUAGCAAUAGCCGUUUGCGAGGUGCUGCAUGGUUGUCGUCAGCUCGUGCCGUGAGGUGUCGGCUUAAGUGCCAUAACGAGCGCAACCCUUGCCACUAGUUACUAACAGGUAAAGCUGAGGACGCUGGUGGGACUGCCAGCGUAAGCUGCGAGGAAGGCGGGGAUGACGUCAAAUCAGCACGGCCCUUACAUCCGGGGCGACACACGUGUUACAAUGGCGUGGACAAAGGGAAGCCACCUGGCGACAGGGAGCGAAUCCCCAAACCACGUCUCAGUUCGGAUCGGAGUCUGCAACCCGACUCCGUGAAGCUGGAUUCGCUAGUAAUCGCGCAUCAGCCAUGGCGCGGUGAAUACGUUCCCGGGCCUUGUACACACCGCCCGUCAAGCCAUGGGAGCCGGGGGUACCUGAAGUCCGUAACCGCGAGGAUCGGCCUAGGGUAAAACUGGUGACUGGGGCU
rnacentral:rRNA from 1 species